CUUGGUGGCUAUAGCGUCUGUGACCCACCCGAUCCCAUCUCGAACUCGGCCGUGAAACCGGACUGCGCCGAUGGUACUAGUGCUUCAAGCACUGGAAGAGUAGGUCGUCGCCAGGC
rnacentral:rRNA from 1 species